UUCUUCAGCCUUGGGAUUUGAACUGGAUUCCUUGUUCCUCAUCUUGCUGAUGGCCUGAUGUGGGACCUUGUAUUCAUAAUUGACGCCAUGAGGCUACAAAUGGUCCUGCAAAUGGAACCCCAGAUGUCCUUGGUUCAUGAGUUCUAUCAUGGACCUUGGGAUCAACCUGUACCACUGGAAGACUCCCAUCUGGAGAAAACCGCAACUGCAUGGCCUUCUAUGCCCCAAUUUAGCUGUAUCCCAGGAUACAACGCUAACUGGUUGACAUAAUCUGGAGCAUUCCCUGUAUCACUGGCCACUAGCAGUCUUGCCAGGUGGUGCUUAAGCUGUACCAGUGUCCAUACUUAUUCUGUGCAGAGAUCUUGGUACAGGGGGAACCUCUCCAUUCCACACAAAGGUAGAUCUUCAGGUCUUUGGAGUACCUGCUACCCUAGAUUAGCAGUUUUAACUGCCCAAAUAUUCCUGUGAAGAAAUCUUAGUGCAGGAGGGUUCGCUCCAGUACAUGCCUAACCAGAUCACCAGGUAUUUGGAGUACUCAAUCUCCUGAAUUAGGUUGCCCCAGUAUUCAUGUAGUAAGCUUAGAGCUAAAGAGUUUUACAGCUUCACACCUAGGCAUAACCCUGAGUGCAUGGUGGCCACCCAUUGCUUCUCCCUGCCAUUGGGGGACUUGUAGGUUGGCAUGCUAGGUUCAGCCCCACCCAGCAUGGUCCCCACCCAUCCAGUGCUUAGCAGGGAGAUCAGACCACUAUAAAUUACAUACAUCAACCCAUUUUCUGAGGCAACAAAGAGCUUUGGUGAAUAACAGAGUAUCAAGGAUAUAACCAGCCACAUGGGCUAUAAUAGGCUCUACUGGCUAUAGUACCAUCUACUGGCUUGUUGGUUGAACAGCACAGCCCAAUAUAAAACCUACCAAAAGAAGUAGAUAGGGGUAUAGAAGCAAAGACAAAAGACCCUACCCAGUAUUCUCUAUCAAAUAGAGAAAAAGGGAAAGGGAUAAGAGAAAGAGAUUUUUUUUUUAAAUGGUAUUAUAGGGAAAAAGACAAAAAGAAAAAAAUUCUACCUGCACAAAAUAAUUUUGUUUUCAAAAAUUUAGAAGUGCAUGCACCUCCAGACAAGAAGGAACCAGGGGAAAAAAUUCUAGCAUUAUAAAAAAUCUGAAUGUAUGAAACUAUGAAAGGAACAUACUAGGUCUCCAGCAAUGGUUUCUAACUAACAUGGAAACUCAGAAAUGACAAAGAAUUCAAGGCAAGGAUUGUAAGAAAGUUCAAUGAAAUUCACAACAAAGUUGAAAAUUAACACACAUAAAUUUCUUUGAAAAAUCCAGGAAAUGAAGGAAGAGAUAAAUAUUGUAAAAAGAAAUCAAGUAGAGCUUCUUAAAUUAGAAAACUCACUUAAUAAAGUUUAAAAUACAAUGGAAAGCUUUCUCA
rnacentral:lncRNA from 13 species